GAAGCGGCAAUAGCUCAGAUUUGAAAUCUGGCGUCUUCGGCGUCCGAGUUGUAAUCUGUAGAGGAUGCCUUUGGGUAGCCACCGGUCUAAGUCCCCUGGAACGGGGCGUCACAGAGGGUGAGAAUCCCGUAUGUGACCGGAAGGGCACCCUCCACAAGGCUCCUUCGACGAGUCGAGUUGUUUGGGAAUGCAGCUCUAAAUGGGAGGUAAAUUCCUUCUAAAGCUAAAUACCGGCCAGAGACCGAUAGCGCACAAGUAGAGUGAUCGAAAGAUGAAAAGCACUUUGGAAAGAGAGUUAAAAAGCACGUGAAAUUGUUGAAAGGGAAGCGCUUGCAACCAGACUUGUUGGCGGUGUUCCGCCGGUCUUCUGACCGGUCCACUCACCGUCUGCAGGCCAGCAUCAUCUGGGGCCGCCGGAUAAAAGCGAGGGGAACGUGGCUCCCUCGGGAGUGUUAUAGCCCCUCGUGCAAUACGGCGAGCCUCGGGUGAGGUCCGCGCUUCGGCUAGGAUGCUGGCGUAAUGGUCGUAAGCGGCCCGUCUUGAAACACGGACCAAGGAGUCUAACAUCUAUGCGAGUGUUCGGGUGUCAAACCCCUACGCGUAAUGAAAGUGAACGGAGGUGGGAGCCUUAGGGUGCACCAUCGACCGAUCCUGAUGUCUUCGGAUGGAUUUGAGUAAGAGCAUAGCUGUUGGGACCCGAAAGAUGGUGAACUAUGCCUGGAUAGGGUGAAGCCAGAGGAAACUCUGGUGGA
rnacentral:rRNA from 1 species